rnacentral:rRNA from 1 species
AUCGAACGCUGGCGGCAGGCCUAACACAUGCAAGUCGAGCGGACCAAGAGAGCUUGCUCCUGGGUGUGACGACGGCCGGGAUAGCAACCCCUAGGAAUCGGAUAGCUCGUGGAAGCUAGCGUCAGUAAACGGGCGCUAAUACCGCAUAAAUAUUGAUCGCCAAAAGAUGAGUCCGUGUACGAUUACCCUGUCGGAUAGGUCAAGGCCCACUAAGGCGGGGAGCGUUAGCUGGUCCGAGAGGACGAUCAGCCACACUGGGAGUGAGACACAGCCCAGACUCCUACGGGAGGCAGCAGUGGGGGAUAUUGGACAAUGGGGGCAACCCUGAUGCAGCCAGGCCGCGUGAGUGAUGAAGGUCUUCGGGUUGUAAAGCAAUUUUGGCGGGGACGAUGAUGACGGUACCCGCAGAAUAAGCCCCGGCUAACUUCGUG